rnacentral:rRNA from 1 species
UAUUGCACAAUGGGCGCAAGCCUGAUGCAGCCAUGCCGCGUGUAUGAAGAAGGCCUUCGGGUUGUAAAGUACUUUCAGUUGUGAGGAAGGGUGUGUAGUUAAUAGCUGCACAUCUUGACGUUAGCAACAGAAGAAGCACCGGCUAACUCCGUGCCAGCAGCCGCGGUAAUACGGAGGGUGCGAGCGUUAAUCGGAAUUACUGGGCGUAAAGCGCAUGCAGGAGGUUCAUUAAGUCAGAUGUGAAAGCCCGGGGCUCAACCUCGGAACUGCAUUUGAAACUGGUGAACUAGAGUACUGUAGAGGGGGGGUAGAAUUUCAGGUGUAGCGGUGAAAUGCGUAGAGAUCUGAAGGAAUACCAGUGGCGAAGGCGGCCCCCUGGACAGAUACUGACACUCAGAUGCGAAA